GUUCAUAUCAGGUUGAAACACCGGUUCUUGUAAGAUCAUCGAAGUUAAGCAACGUUGAGUCUAGUCAGUACCUGGAUGUGUGAAAGCUUGGUAAUUCCGGGUGCUGCAAGC